UUCCGGUUGAUCCUGCCGCCGGCUACUGCUAUCAGGUUUCGACUAAGCCAUGCGAGUCAAGGGGUCGUAAGACACCGGCGUACUGCUCAGUAACACGCGGACAAUCUACCCCCAGGUGGAGGAUAACCUCGGGAAACUGAGGCUAAUACCCCAUAGUUGUCAUGUGCUGGAAUGCUUUGACGAUGAAAGAAUUUCGCCUGAGGAUGAGUCUGCGGCCUAUCAGGUAGUAUGUGGUGUAAAGGACCACAUAGCCGAGGACGGGUACGGGCCUUGAAAGAGGGAGCCCGGAGAUGGACUCUGAGACAUUAGUCCAGGCCCUACGGGGCGCAGCAGGCGCGAAAACUGUGCAAUGCGCGAAAGCGCGACACGGGGAACCUGAGUGCCUUGACACAGUCAAGGCUUUUAUCAAGCCUAAAAAGCUUGAUGAAUAAGAGCUGGGUAAGACGGGUGCCAGCCGCCGCGGUAACACCCGCAGCUCUAGUGGUGGUCACUUUUAUUGAGCCUAAAGCGUUCGUAGCCGGUUCUGUAAAUCUUCAGAUAAAUUCAUUCGCUCAACGGAUGAUCUUCUGAAGAGACUGUAGAACUUGGGACCGGGUGAGGUUGAAUGUACUUCCGGGGUAGGGGUAAAAUCCUGUAAUCCUGGAAGGACGACCGGUGGCGAAGGCGUUCAACUAGAACGGAUCCGACGGUGAGGAACGAAGGCUAGGGGAGCAAACCGGAUUAGAUACCCGGGUAGUCCUAGCUGUAAACACUGCCCACUUGGUGUUGCAUCUCCGGUAAGGGGGUGCAGUGCCGUAGCGAAGGUGUUAAGUGGGCCGCUUGGGGAGUAUGGUCGCAAGGCUGAAACUUAAAGGAAUUGGCGGGGGAGCACCGCAACGGGAGGAGCGUGCGGUUUAAUUGGAUUCAACGCCGGAA
rnacentral:rRNA from 1 species